rnacentral:rRNA from 1 species
GAUGAACGCUGGCGGCUUGCCUAAUACAUGCAAGUCGAGCGAACGGACGAGAAGCUUGCUUCUCUGAUGUUAGCGGCGGACGGGUGAGUAACACGUGGAUAACCUACCUAUAAGACUGGGAUAACUUCGGGAAACCGGAGCUAAUACCGGAUGAUAUUUUGAACCGCAUGGUUCAAAAGUGAAAGACGGUCUUGCUGUCACUUAUAGAUGGAUCCGCGCUGCAUUAGCUAGUUGGUAAGGUAACGGCUUACCAAGGCAACGAUGCAUAGCCGACCUGAGAGGGUGAUCGGCCACACUGGAACUGAGACACGGUCCAGACUCCUACGGGAGGCAGCAGUAGGGAAUCUUCCGCAAUGGGCGAAAGCCUGACGGAGCAACGCCGCGUGAGUGAUGAAGGUCUUCGGAUCGUAAAACUCUGUUAUUAGGGAAGAACAUAUGUGUAAGUAACUGUGCACAUCUUGACGGUACCUAAUCAGAAAGCCACGGCUAACUACGUG